AGUGAACGCUGGCGGUAGGCCUAACACAUGCAAGUCGAACGGCAGCACAGUAAGAGCUUGCUCUUACGGGUGGCGAGUGGCGGACGGGUGAGGAAUACAUCGGAAUCUACUUUUUCGUGGGGGAUAACGUAGGGAAACUUACGCUAAUACCGCAUACGACCUACGGGUGAAAGCAGGGGAUCUUCGGACCUUGCGCGAUUGAAUGAGCCGAUGUCGGAUUAGCUAGUUGGCGGGGUAAAGGCCCACCAAGGCGACGAUCCGUAGCUGGUCUGAGAGGAUGAUCAGCCACACUGGAACUGAGACACGGUCCAGGCUCCUACGGGAGGCAGCAGUGGGGAAUAUUGGACAAUGGGCGCAAGCCUGGUCCAGCCAUACCGCGUGGGUGGAGAAAGCCUUCGGGUUGUAAAGCCCUUUUGUUGGGAAAGAAAAGCAGCAGGUUAAUACCCCGCUGUUCUGACGGUACCCAAAGAAUAAGCACCGGCUAACUUCGUG
rnacentral:rRNA from 1 species